rfam:Loxodonta africana unplaced genomic scaffold scaffold_56, whole genome shotgun sequence.
UCAUUGGUGGUUCAGUGGUAGAAUCCUCGCCUUCCACAUGAGAGACCUGGGUUAGAUUCCCAGCCAAUGCA